UGGUUGCGUCAUUGUGUUGGAUGUUGCUCCCGUGGUUCUAGGAUAAAGGGGUUCUCAUUCUAGGGUUGGGGAUGCUGCUCCCGCAUAGCUCCUUGCUAAGCACCGCAUGCCAUGACGUCCGUCGACUCGAUCUGCACGGACAAUGACAGGAUAAGAGUACCUUGUCCCUUUUAGCGGGGUGCUCCAACUUUGGAUGCCGGUGAAGCUUUUGCAAUGAUGGCUGCAUCAUUAAACUGAGGUAAACAUGCCAAAUUCUUUUGUCAAAUGAAAACAUGUCUGUCUAUUUUGCUUGUUAGGACUAAGAUAUCUAGCUAUCAAUGAAAUUUUCAAAGUUGUUUUUGUUGCCUCUGUGUAAUCUUGAUAACAACUUCUUGGAAGGUUCAGAUGUGUGGCAAAGGAUUUCAAUUUUCUUGUUUACAGAGAGAAAACUGGAGGAAGGUUUAGACUUCUCAUGCUCAUUUUGAGCUCUCAAGGUUACAUAGACAAAAUUGCCUCCUAUUUACACAAAGGAAACCCGAGGAAGGUUCAGAUUUCUCAUGACUGCUUCUUCGGUAUUUCAUGCAUGUGUUGUAUUAUUAGGAAAAUGUAGUUUGUUUUAUAGCCGAUGAUGCUCGAUGUUUUUUAUCGAUUAGUAAAUGCUGAGUUUUAGCUCAUAAACUACAUGGCAAAAGCUAAUUCUGAUGGGUCUGAUGCAAAUAAUUUUCAUCUUCAUACAUGCCUUGAGUUGAUUAUUUAAUCCUUUUGUAUUAAUCUAUUUAGCUUUGUAUUAUUGCAGUUUCAUUAUAUAUGCACUUACAAAUGCAUCUAAAGAUGCAAGAAUGUAGAAACCACCAUCAGUCUUGGGACUACAAAUUGUUUCUUCAUUCCUCCUUGUUGCACUGUAGGUGCUAAGGUGUUGAGGUCGUAUAUUCAUCGAGGCAUCAAUACACUUUAGUUUCCUUUUCCUUCUCCCUAUUUUUGUUAUUGCAUUUAUUUAUUCUUAUUGGACCUCUUUGUCUAAAGCUUUAAUAUGGUUUUGAUUGGUGCCCUGCAUCCCCUAAAAAUUAAAUGCUAACAUCCUCUCAGUUUCCGAAUGAAUUUCUUAAAUUUCCUUUCUCUUAUUGGAUCACAUACCUAAUUUAUUUGUUGUCCUUGAAGAAAAUAUCAUGACAUGAGCUUGAUGAUUUCAAAGAUAUAGGUAGUUGACAAAAAGAGGAUACACUGAUUUAGUAUCUUAUCUAAUUAGUGGGCUAAUUCUAAAAAAUAACAAAUAAAGAGAUUUCUUAAUUAGCAGUAUUGUAUAUGUUUGGAGCAGUGUAAUAAUUUAUCCUAUAUGACUUUCUUUCUCUUGCCAAAAAUUCAUCAAUGUGAGGCUCAAAUAUAGACGGGUUCGAAAGGCUUGGAUAUGCAUCCCACUAAACGACGUACGCCAAAGGUAUUAUUCGAUGUCGGUGUCCCCUUUUAGGAGAGUUAUUCUUAUUUGAUUUUGCACAUCUCUCCAUGGUGCUAUGUUUGUGGGGGUAGGGGUAGUCUUCAUGCUUUGAACGAAACUGAUUUUUUUCUAGCGAUUCUUUCGGCUGUUGACAUGAGGCAUACAGUUCUCUCAUACAUAAUUGCUGCUAAAUAAGUGAUACAAACAGAGUUUUGUAGUUAUGUGCUAACUCAUACAAACAUAUUCUAGCAAAAUGGAAAGAAUGUACUAAAAAUUAAGCCAUGACCCUACAGUUUCUCAAGAUGUGUGUCAGUUUGGCGACACGACUCGUAACUGUGUCCUUUCUUUUUUUUAAGUGAAACAUUAUGGUUUUCAUAUGAAACUCUAAUAAUAUGUAUAUACAUUUGGUAUGUCGAUCAGAUUUAUGGUCAAGAUAAGCCCAAUUGAAUGAAGGUGAGUAUCAAUCUCGGCUUAAGAUCUCAAACUUUGUUAUCUAGCUAUUGUUGAUACUUAAGGGAAGUUAACUCACAGCCAUCUCAUUUCAUGCAAGAUUAGUGACUUGAUAUACAUUCUUAGGGGUAAAUAAUAUCAGUUAUUUACUGAGUGAGCUAUCAGCUUUGGAUCCUUUCAAAUUGAAGCUCAAAUUUGUUGGCAUUUUCAGGUGUCAAGCAAUUCUCAUGUCUAAUUUAUACAUGGUUCAAAUAUAUCAUUGCUUGAUCUAGCUAUAUGGUUCUCAAUUGUUUGCUCUUGCAUUGGCUAUAAACCCUACACACUAUGGAUUCAUGAGAAACAAAGCUGGUAGAUAACUACUUACUAUAUUUUGUGCCGUGUAAAAAAAUAAUUUAUGUAUGCUAAGUAUGCUACAUGAAGUGUGAAUGCAAGAUCUCUCGUAACUGUUUCUUUCUAUCUUUUUUCUUUUAAUCUCCAAUCAUUGUUCAUACUUUAUUACUACAGGAAUGGAAGAUAUAUUAUCUAGAAAAUAAACCUCUUCAACCUGAUGCUCCAUGAUGUUGUCAGGCUCCAUUUGAUUCUGGAUGCCUCCUUUGGUUAGUAAUUCACCUACUCUUAAUAAUUGCCUGCAAUUUGUAAAUCAACGGUACUUUAAGUAAGCUGACUGGUUGUUCUUUUGCUUUAUCAUCUCAAUAUAGUGAUUGUAACAUAUUUGGGUGGUCUGCAAUGUGCACUUGUACUUGUACAUUUCAAGGUAUAUAAUAGUGAUGCUUGUUACACUAAUAUGUCACAUAGGCAAUGGUGUCCAAGAUGUUCAGAAUAUUGUGAGCGAUGGGCCAAGCCUGAAUAUAUAUGCGUAUCGGUGGAUGAGGAGUAGAAUGACAAGGAGUUGAGCGAUUAGGCUAACUCAAUUAUUUUAGGUAUUUCAUAGUGUUGCUUUCCAUUGUUAGUUCAAACUGAAUAUUUGUUCAACAAAAAACAAGAAGUUUUUGAGUCAUGCCUUUUGUUUUCUUCAUUAGAGAUCCACCCAAUGAAAUGAUCGGGGGUAAGUAAACCCAUUGAGUUGAUGACAUCAUGUGACCGCCGGAACGGCAUGACGUGGACACCUAUGGCCAGGACAGUUGUUGUGCGCGCAGGCGCUUAGCCAUUGAGCCCGUGGCCUUAUUCCUAUAGAUGUACCCCAUCCCCCUAUCCCCUAAUCCUCUAUGGUUGCUCACAGAAUUUGCAGGUUAUUUGACAUGAUUUACGUCACAAAUCUGAAUUUCUCUAGACCUGGCAACUCCUCUUGUCCUUCACAGUCCUUGGAUUCACUGGAGUCUGGACACAGCAGGCAUGCAAAAGGCCCGGUUUCAGUUUGUCCAGAGAUGAGUCAAGUAGACAGGGAAUGGAGGGAAUAGUUUUCUUUGAACUUCUAAAGUUUUGGGAGGAACACCCUGUUUCCAAAUCUUAGCUCCGCCACUGAUAGGUGGGGUUCCCACCAAGGAGGCAGCAUCCACUUCUUCGGAGGACGAGGCCAGAAGUCCCAUGAGCAUCUGCGGAAUAGGAGGAGUCAUAGGAGGCUGAGAGUGAUGAAAGGGAGCACGAGAUGGUGCUCUCGCUGCAAGAUAGGGAGCUAUGCCAAUAGUCGUUGUGGGCUUGUGGCGCUGGUCGCGUGGGCGCAUCACCAACCAUAAUCGUCGAGGCUGUGGCACAGGGGUCGUGUUUUCUGUUGGCCCGACGAUUACCCCACCGCGAUGAUAAGGCGACUCCCCCAACCCGAUGGUUAUAAGUUACAGGUUUCCUGUUUCCUUACAUUCCGUCGUGAUGGCACAGUCAUGCGUGCAGUGCCAGCAAUGAGACCAGCAUCGCGUCCCCAUCACUGGAUCUACUAAUGAGGGGAAGGAAGAAGGAAGAGCGCAUGUUUUGGACGGACGCUUUCUUGGGAAGCUAAUGAUUUGAAUCCUUCUGUGAAACGAAACAGGAAGCUCGGUCUAUUUGUUAAUUAUAAGUGGCUAUUCUUUUACAGGAAACAAUUUAUUCUUCAGUCUCAUUGCCUUUAUAUGGAAGACGACACCAAAAGAGAAGUCUGGGGAGUUGCUUGGUCCUAUGGCAUGUGAAAAUUAGAAUCAAUUGAUGGAUGAUCGAUUGAAUCAACAAUUCAACAUGCUGCAAGUUGGGUAGAGGAAUUGAAACGCAGGUUCGGUUCAGAGGUCUUUUUCUUCAGCGUGUGAUUCAGAUUACAAAUACAAUACGUACUGAGCAUACCAGCGUUUCCACGGCGAACCCCACCAAACUGCCAGCCUAGAUGCACAAGCCUACACCGAUGACGCCCCUCAGGUUGCGGUCUCCUCCGGUGAAUCCUUCGUUGAUACCUUGUUUUCAGUUUCUUCAGAGUCCAGUUGGUUGCCAGUCGGUGGCAGGCAUAUGCAUCAUCUUUCCAUCAAUUUCCCAUCACUGCAUCUUGUUUUUAGUUUCUUUAUAAUCGGCGGUCGGUGACACGGCAUCCAUCUUCGUAUAGCACUAGAUGUGUUGCAAAUAGUUUGCUUUACCUGUUUGUCGAUUUUUACUCGGGCGGAUCUUUUUAUGCUUUGUGUGGUUCCGACGGUGGCCGCCAUGAUCGAGGUUCCUACCAUCCUGUUCGGUCGAUCACGAGACCAUGGAAUAUCACGACGGAUUCAGUCGACGACCAAUGUAGUCAGACAGAAAGCUUGACAUUUGCAAAUGGAACAUAAGCACUCGGUGUUAGAGCCAUUGCCAGUUGACAAGGCCAUUGAUGUGGUCAAGAUCAGGUUUUGGAUUGGAUAAUGAGCCUCUUUCAGAGAGAAUUACAUCAUAAUGCAUCAUACAUAGUUGCCUGGAUGAAUUAUGAUUAUGUAUAUUCAGUAUGAUUGUUGAUUCCGAAGUCUUCCAGGGAACAAGAUGCCCCACUUGUUAUCAUGUUGUGUGGAUUAAAACAAAUUUAUCACCCAUGGUGUUUAUAAAGCUUAGCCAAAAUUUAUCAAGGAGGAGCGCUCGAGGCAUGCGAUCAUUGGCAAGUAAAUCCAUCUAAGGAGGAGCACUCGAGGCAUGCAAUCGGUUCUGGAGAAGAAGGGGAGGUGCUGGUUGCAGGGUGCUGGAGCUGAGACGACCACAUGCAUGUCUGAGAAGAACAGGCUCAUCGAUGUCACCUCCCUCACCUUUGUCAUCUGCUGUUGUGUGCGGAUCAAUCUAAACAUGUUUUUUUGGUUAGUUUGUCUAUUUUUUUUAGGGAUAAACUUCAUUAAUUGAAGCAGCAUAUGUUGGAGAAUGUAGAUUCAGCAUUUGUUUGAGUAGCUUUGGAGGUAUUCUAUACGACCUAUGAGUGAUAUACCCUCCUCUCUCCUCCAUCCAUUUCACUCAAGUAGUCAAGUUAACCCAGUACACACAUGUGUAGUCUGCCUUUAGGUGGUUUUCCCUUCGCUACAUAUAAUGUAGUUUUAUGAAUUUUCGAGCUCUUAUUAUACCAGACUAAGUGGUUAUAUUGUA